rnacentral:rRNA from 1 species
GAUGAACGCUGGCGGCGUGCCUAAUACAUGCAAGUCGAGCGAACGGACGAGAAGCUUGCUUCUCUGAUGUUAGCGGCGGACGGGUGAGUAACACGUGGAUAACCUACCUAUAAGACUGGGAUAACCUCGGGAAACCGGAGCUAAUACCGGAUGAUAUUUUGAACCGCAUGGUUCAAAAGUGAAAGACGGUCUUGCUGUCACUUAUAGAUGGAUCCGCGCUGCAUUAGCUAGUUGGUAAGGUAACGGCUUACCAAGGCAACGAUGCAUAGCCGACCUGAGAGGGUGAUCGGCCACACUGGAACUGAGACACGGUCCAGACUCCUACGGGAGGCAGCAGUAGGGAAUCUUCCGCAAUGGGCGAAAGCCUGACGGAGCAACGCCACGUGAGUGAUGAAGGUCUUCGGAUCGUAAAACUCUGUUAUUAGGGAAGAACAUAUGUGUAAGUAACUGUGCACAUCUUGAUGGUACCUAAUCAGAAAGCCACGGCUAACUACGUG